UACGAAGGGGGCUAGCGUUGUUCGGAUUUACUGGGCGUAAAGCGCACGUAGGCGGAUCGAUCAGUCAGGGGUGAAAUCCCAGGGCUCAACCCUGGAACUGCCUUUGAUACUGACGAUCUGGAGUAUGGAAGAGGUGAGUGGAAUUCCGAGUGUAGAGGUGAAAUUCGUAGAUAUUCGGAGGAACACCAGUGGCGAAGGCGGCUCACUGGUCCAUUACUGACGCUGAGGUGCGAAAGCGUGGGGAGCAAACAGG
rnacentral:rRNA from 1 species